AGCUGGGGGCCGCGGGUGGGUGGCCGCGACCUCCUCAGGCUCUGGAGCGCCGGAAGCCCCGUCUAGUCGGCCGCCCGCCCUGCAGAGCGGCCCUGCCCGGCGAGCUGGAUGCAUUCGGCGCGCCGGGGCGGGCGGAGUCCCCGGAGCUCGUGGGCGCGCGGACUGCAGGCGCCCGCCCCGGGACGAGCCGGGCUUCCGAGGGCUGGGGCCCGCGGCGGGUCGUCGGGGGCGGCCCCCAGGGCGUUCUGUGGCAGCGGUGAGAACGGCCCACGCCUUCUCACUGUGCAGGAUGGCCGGCCGCGUCUGCGGGCGGCGCGUUCCGAGGCUGCACCGCAGGCGGGGAGGGGAGCCGCCUGCACACAGUAGGUCCCUGCAGCGGCCCCUUUCUGGCCUCGCUCCCCCCUAGUGCGGGCAGGGAAGGGAGCUCCCUGCACACAUUAGGUCCUAGGAGGGGCUCCUUUCUGGCCUUGUGCCCUCCUACUGCAGGCAGGAAGGGAGCUGCCUGCGCACAGUAGGUCCCGAGAGCAUCUGAGUUCUGGCCUGCGCCCUCGUCCCGGGAGCAUUGGGUCCUCGGCAGCUGUGCUGUCAGACCCACGGUCAAAGCGGAGCCUGGAGAAGCAGGGUUCCGGGAAAGCUUUGUUUUUUCCAAUUGUCUUGGGGAACAGAGUUGUUACUCAGAAUAUGAAACAUUACGGACAAGAUAAAAGAACACUUAUUCAUGAACUCUAAUACUGUUCAAAUUCGUUUUUACAUUAAAGGUGUACAAGUUGACAUCACUUAUACCUAGAAUUUUGUUGUCUUGCGUGCAUUAAAGAGAUCUUGUCCUGAGGAAGAGGAGGAGGAUGAUUUCUCCAAUUCGUGAAAGGAAAAAAACACCUUGCCACCACGGGAACCGACAGUACCAGUGAGAGAGGGUCAGCAGUCCAACACUGUUCUCACCAGGCUAAGAGCAAGUUGUCAGCGGAGCUGUCUUCCUUUCUGGAGACUGUUGGCUUGUUUUGAUGAAGCAAGCCACAACAUGGAAUGUUGCCCCAUAGAGAGACCAUAUGUCAAGGAACUGGGGGCGGCCUCCAGCCAACAGCCGGAGGGAACCAAGACCCUCAGUGCAACAGCUUGCGAGGAACUGAAUCCUACCAACAACCAGAGCAUGAACUUAGAAGCGGACCCGUCUCUAGAUGAGCCUUGAGAUGACUGCAGCCCCAGUGAACACCUUGACGGCAGCCUUGUGAGAGGUCCUGAGCCAGAGAACACUGCUAAGCCGCACCAGAUUCCUGACCCACAGACCUUACAAGAUAGAGAGGAUACUGCCUCCACCUCGCAGUCAGACAGACCCUGUACCAGCCCUAGAGGAAUAAGCUUGAAGUCAUUUCCAGGAAUUGAAGAAAAGAAGAGAACAUGAGGGUUGAUUGCAUCAAAAGUGUGACACGAAUAAAAGAAUCAUGAAAUCACAUAUGUCUGCACAGAAGUCAACUAAUAAAUCAAAAGCGUGUUCUUAGCUAAGUCAGAUGUUUCUUUGAAACAGCAUAUGGUGCAAUUCCAAUAUACUCUAUAUUCACCCACCUAACAGGCUGUCUUGGUGCUUUCAACUAGUGAGAAAUCUAGCAGCACAAAUGUUUAGAAGGCUGGUAAAACAUUUUAACUUUGUUGUAUGCCCAGAUUAGCUGUUACUGGCCUGGUGAUUACAUUGUAAAACCUAAAAUCAUAAAUGGGGAAAAUAACCUAUUGGCAGGAAUGAACGCUAAUUGUUACUACGUCCUAUAUUAAAUGUGUUCAUAGUUUCUUUUUAGCAGCUAUUUUGAUGUAAAAUUUAACAAGUUUUCUUUCAUCUCAUAUCAAGUCUGUAUUUAAAAAAAUUGUAGAUUUAAAUUUCUGCACCAUUUUUAGAGUUGAGAGUCAUAAAAUUAACAUAUGUUAUAAUUUUAACCAAAUCAAAUCCUCAUAACAGAAUCAUGUCCUAAUCAGGAAAGAAUGAAGACUGUAAUGUUUAAAAAUAUUAUGAUGACUGUAUCUUGCUAUAAAAGAUAACUAAAUUCCGGUAUAAUUGAAGAAAACUAGUUCACAUGGAUUUUUAAACUUUCAAAUACUAAAAGUCCAUGGCUAUGUGAAGGUUGCUGUGGGUGGAUAUAACUGUGGCAAAGGAGAAACUUGUUAGACUAUGAUUAAUUGACAAGGGUAGGAGGAAUUUGUUUCAUUAGAUCAUUAUUCAUUCUAUUUUUUUAGAAUCUGUAUAUUUAAUUGCCAUUAUAUGAUAAUGUCAGUGUUAGUCACUGUCAAAUCUGAAAACUAUAUUCUGCCCCCAUACAUCCCUUGACCAAAACAUUCAGCCAUUCAUGAUUGUUGGUCACUGAUACGCAAUGAGGACAGACUUCCAAAGAAAUUUUUGAGUUCUGUAUUUUAUCAAAUCCAAAAGGGAAGGAGGUUAGGAGGAUAUUGGUGAAGGAGUAAUUUUGGAAUAGGAAAGUGGUAAAGAACACAUGGACACAAAUUUCUAACCAGUUCAGCCAGUUGUUUUACUCUCUUUGCAUGUGUAAAUUGGUGAGUUUUUCUGAACAAAAACCAAACUCUCUCAUCUCCAGUGUCCACACUCAGCAGCAUCCAUGGAGUUCAUGAGAAGUAAUAGUGGACUUCUUCCUAUAUGUUGAGAUAGUUGAGUGUCCUGAGAGAGCCCUCAAGCUACUUUGCCAGGAUUCUGAAAUCCAGGUUCUCUUGCUUAUUUCUUCCUUUCAUUAAUUCUACUUAUUGUUUCCCAAGGCUUCUAAUUCUGUAUUUAUUAUCUAUUCACAGCACAUCAUAUUUUAUAAGUAUGGUGCUAUCAGUAACAGCAAAACAAAUAAUGGAUAUGCUACAUUAAAAAUCCAAGUGGUCAGAUGUUGAUGUGACCGGCUGUAUGUGGCUGAAGGACAGUGGGUGUUUUAGUUGUGCGAUUUUUCCCUGUCUGGCCCAUAAAUAAAAUAAUGGAAGAAAAUAAAAAGGAAAUGGCACUAGUGGAGGGUUUCCUCUUUGAUAGACACUUAGUGCACUUUGUCUCAAUCAUUUUUCCACUGGUCCAGACCCAAGACCAAUUCUGUUCAUAGCUGAGAAAUAUCAGUGAGCCUUGGGACACUAACAUGCUGACUCAGCAUCAGGCCAUCCGUGUGUAAGGUCUGGCCCCAGGCUUGUGCCCCAGUUGCAAUAAGUGAUGUUGUCAGGACUUUGACCAAAAAUGUGACCUUUCCCUACUUAAUUAAUAAAAAUGUGACCUGUCUCCUACUUAAUUUCUCCAUGACUUAUUCUUCUCUCUGAAUCUUUCCCAACUUUACCUAAUACCAGACUCCUGGAUGCCUUCCCAUCCUUUCCUGCUUACUUAUCCAGACUUCUUAUUGCUUGCAGCUGCUUCCCACUGAUAAUUAUGUUCCACCUUCAGGAGAAGCUGCGUCAUACCAGGAUCUUCCUGCCAUUAAUUGACUGACUGCUUAGAUUUCUCUAUUUGCUGUAAUUCCCUAACAUGACAGAUAUAGAUUCAGAAUUACCCUCUUUUCCCACUUUGGGAUCCAUCCCUCAUUGCCUCCUCUUUUCAUUAAGAUCAGCUUAGUUUUGCUGUCUGAACUUCCCUGUGAGCUCUGGUUCUCUGAUUAUGGGAAAGAGAAAGAAAAAUGAGGGCUGAGAAUAAGAAAUAUGGCAGCCGUGAGAAAUCUGAACUUGAGAGUUGUCUCUGCUUCGGAGCUGUCCUGGAUAGAUUCUUCCAUUCCUCUGUUCCUUUCUAAUUGUAUGGAGAAGGGGCAUGUGAAGUAUUGGUUAAUUUGAAGCUAGUGUAUACAUUAGCUCAUAGGUAGUGAUUUUGGCAGCUAUUUGAGUUUAUCCACAUGUCAGUAGCUGUAAUUGCAAGUUUCUUUCUUGUUAAUUCCUGAAGUUGCUGCUCUUCUUCCCCUGCUGUGAAAUUUUGUCCCUUUCCAAAACAGAACACAUUUUUUUUCCUGAUGUGCAAAGCACACUCAUUAAUUUCUCACUUAGUGACGAUUCAUUAAUCAUGGAAGGGCAUGUGAGCUCCAGUAAAAGCAACUCCUUUAAUUUAAUUUAACAAACGUUUAUGGAGUGUUUAAUGUGAGGAGCAAAGCACCAGGCAUGAGACCCAAAGAGAUCCAGUUUGAGUGAUAUGUA